rnacentral:tRNA from 1 species
GGGGACAUAGUAUAACCUGGUAGAACAACUGGCUCCAGACCAGUGGAUCAGGGUUCGAAUCCCUGUGUCCCCA